GAGUGCGGUAGCAGGAGGGGGCGGGGAGGUUUCUCUGGAAACCCCCCUGGUAAGUGUGGAGGAGGCGGGACACUCUGACCCAAGACGAAAGGCCUGUAGCUCCAGCCAAAGAAAAUAAACCUUAGGAGGGAGAAGGAAAAAAAAAAUCCAUCAGCUGUUCCUGAGAACAGCCUGCAUUGGAAUCUACAGAGAGGACAACUAAUGUGAGUGAGGAAGUGACUGUAUGUGGACUGUGGAGAAAGUAAGUCACGUGGGCCCUUGAGGACCUGGACUGGGUUAGGAACAGUUGUACUUUCAGAGGUGAGGUGUCGAGAAGGGAAAGUGAAUGUGGUCUGGAGUGUGUCCUUGGCCUUGGCUCCACAGGGUGUGCUUUCCUCUGGGGCCGUCAGGGAGCUCAUCCCUUGUGUUCUGCCAGGGUGGGGUACGGGGUUUGACACUGAGGAGGGUAACCUGCUGGCUGGAGCGGCAGAGCAGUGGCCUUGAUUUGUCUUUUGGAAGAUUUUAAAAACCAAAAAGCAUAAACAUUCUGGUCCUUCAGCAAUGCUUUCUCUGAAGAAAUACUUAACGG
rnacentral:lncRNA from 1 species